rfam:Pneumocystis murina mitochondrion, complete genome.
GAUUUUUUAACUUAAUGGUCAAAGUGCAAACUCGAUAAGUUUGAAAUACUGGUUCAAUUCCAUUAAAAAUCA